rnacentral:rRNA from 1 species
AGGAUGAACGCUGGCGGCGUGCUUAACACAUGCAAGUCGAACGAUGAAGGCUGGAGCUUGCUCUGGCUGGAUUAGUGGCGAACGGGUGAGUAACACGUGAGUAACCUGCCCCAGACUCUGGGAUAAGCGCUGGAAACGGCGUCUAAUACCGGAUACGAGCUUCCACCGCAUGGUGAGGAGCUGGAAAGAAUUUCGGUCUGGGAUGGACUCGCGGCCUAUCAGCUUGUUGGUGAGGUAAUGGCUCACCAAGGCGACGACGGGUAGCCGGCUGAGAGGGUGACCGGCCA